rnacentral:piRNA from 1 species
UGGAAAUUUUAAUAAAUGCAAUUCCAUUCA